AAUGAACGUUGGCGGCGUGGAUUAGGCAUGCAAGUCGAGGGAGAACCCGCAAGGGGGACGACCGGCGAACGGGGUAGGAUCAUCUCGGUGACGUACCCUCCGGACGGGGAUAGCCACGGGAAACUGUGGUAAUACCCGAUGACCUGGCAGGCGAUUAGGGCUUGUCAGCAAAGGUGAGAUUCCACCGGAGGAGCGGCUGAGACGCUAUUAGCUUGUUGGUGAGGUAAUGGCUUACCAAGGCGACGAUGGCUAGGGGGUGUGAGAGCAUGGCCCCCACCACUGGCACUGAGACACUGGCCAGACACCUACGGGUGGCUGCAGUCGAGAAUCUUCGGCAAUGGGCGCAAGCCUGACCGAGCGACGCCGCGUGCGGGAUGAAGGUCUUCGGAUUGUAAACCGACUGUCGGAGGGGAGUGAAGUGUAUGGGAGGCAAUCUCCUGUAUUUGACAGAGCCUCGGAGGAAGCACGGGCUAAGUUCGUGCCAGCAGCC
rnacentral:rRNA from 1 species